rnacentral:tRNA from 1 species
CACAAACACAAGGGCUAUAGCUCAGUUAGGUAGAGCACCUCGUUUACACACCGAGCAGGUCUACGGUUCGAAUCCGUAUAGCCCUA